GCUCUCACCAGCUUGAGAAUCCUGGCAUAGCCAGGCCAUGUGGAGUAGCGGGCACGCUGUGAGGGACAAGAGAUUACAGCGAGCUCAGAAGCAGAGCAAGGAAAACAUGAAGAACGGGGAAAGUAGCUGCCGCAUGCCAAUGUGAAACUCCGAGGAGUCUAGCCAUUCUGAUCUGGCCUUCCAGGUCAUUAGGAGGCUCUGCCAUCGUGUGAGGAGGGAAAGCCUGCUGUCUGGAGAGCACACUGGUCUCCAGCGUGGGGAGAGAGAGCACUUUCGGGCUUUGCUGAGGAGGGUCUUCAGAAAAAAGAGUACUGCCAACAAGAAGGCCCAAUCAAGAUCCUCCCACAACAAGAGCAGAUUGUGAGCGUGGCAAGCUCUAUGCUGAGCACUGGAAGGACAAAGAGAGAUUGGGCACAGACUUCUCACUGAUCCAGGUGAUGAAGAGCUCACAUCUGAGAGGAUGUGACCAUGGAUGACCCACCAGAAUGUCAUGGGAUCCAGCUACAGCCAAGGAAGCACAGAGCACCGUGGGAGCGAUUUAUUGUGCUUGGGGAUGGGGAAGGGGACAUGGGAGGAGCCAUAUUGAGAAAGUAGCAUGGGUACUUGGCUUCACAGAGUGUGGCAGCUUUCAUCAGGAAGUGAUGGUGGGGGAACAGCGUCUCUGGCGGAGGGAAGCAGCAGGUGCAGAGGUGCAGAGGUGUGAGGAGUCUGUCACAUUCUGGGAAGGGAGUAUGGUUGGGUGACAAUGCAAGACAGAGAAAGCAAGGAGGGAAGGAGGGGCCUAGCCUGAGGAAUAAAGAAUAAUAAAAGCAGGAAAACAAUUGCUGAGAGUUUGGAUACCUUUUUCUGGCCUUUCAUCUAAGCUUUGCUAGCCAGCCAAGAGAAAGCUGGCACUUCCCCUCCCCGAGCUUCCCUCGAAAGAGGAAGGGUUAAUUCAGAACAAGACAAAGAAAUGUCUGGGGACCUAAGUGUGAAAAGGAGAGACAGAGUCAGCCUGAAACCUGAAACUUGAGCAAGUGAAGGGGGCUGGAGAGGAGAAGAGCAAGCCAAGGAAGGGACCAGUCAGUAGCUGAAUCCAAUAAAAACUGCCACGUCUAGCCCUGCACUGGGCCUUGGGGCUAUGGAGACAAUAAGACAGGGCUCCUGGCCCUAUGGCUCACAGGCUGCCUGGAGAGGCGCACAAAGA
rnacentral:lncRNA from 1 species